GCGAGGAGUAGGUUUAGGGAGAGGGGCCACUUUUAGGCAUAGACAGUUAUUUUAUUUUUUUUACAAUAUGAAGGGCUGUCAUGUUGUAAAAAUAAACUCCAUUCAAAAUAAUAGGAAAUACAAAGUUCUUGAAUUUGCUGCAAAUUCUGAGUGUCCAUCUCUCACUGAGCUAGUUAGUACCGCUAGUACAUAUGGUAUUUAAAAGCAACAGUAAGGGGAUACAAUGCAAAUCAGCUUCAAUUUUCAAUGAAGUCUAUUUUAAAAGACAUCUUUUAGAAUAAAGUCUCUAAACAGAUCCAUACUGAAUUCAAUGUGGACUAAUGUGCGGAAACCUUGACUAUAUUCUCAAUAUGAAUCCCAUAUAAAGUAAAUAUAGAUUCUUCUGUCCAAGCUAAGACAGUUGCAGGAAACAUAGUUACAUAGCGGAAUCAUGGGGGAAGCAAGUAGAUUUUCGAACAUGCACCAAGAACACUUCAUCUCAUAUAGUGCCCCUUUAAUUUGAAAUGGUUAAAAGUAGACAUGUG